CUAACUUUUACUUUCUAUCUUUGUGUUUCUUUGGCUGAUUGUUUACAACUGCCCUCAUGUGUCUCACCUGUAUCCAAUCAUCCUGCCCUCUCUGCUGCAUAUUUUAAAAGACUCUGUUACUAGCAACAUUCCCGGCUCAGAGGCGGAUCAAAUCAGACCCCCUUUCCGGCUCUGUACCUUUCAUCACAGCGAGGCUGCUUGUGACAGGGCGAGAAAAUGCCUCAUGUUGUUUUUAGUGCUGUGUUCACACACCUCUGCUGACGUCACCAGAUUGGCAACAAGCAACAGGUGGGGACCCCGAGCAACAGAUUGAACAGAACUCCUUUUAAGCGGCGUGAAGCAGGACAGCAGGUGAGCAUCAGCGGCAGGAAGCAGCAGUGGAGGCGGCAGGGACAAGAGAGCUGAAGGGAAGCAGCUGGGCCGGGUCGGACAGAGCCCCCCCCCCCCCCCCAAAAAUUGUGGAGGCUCUGCGGCCCCUCUCACCCCUUCCAAAAGACGCAAAAUGGUUUUGCCCGUCCCGCAUUAGGAUUCAUCUCUUAGCGGUCUAAUGGAGCAGAGAGUGAUGGCUGGUGCUGGAGCUUCAACAUUCCUGUCAUGUCUGUCCCCAAGAAAGGGAAACCAGGUUACCAGAAAGAAAAGAAAGAAAGAGAUGGAAAGCACAGUGACGGAAAUUAGCUGCCAAGUAAUUUCUUUCAAAAGAAAAGAUGAGCACAGUCACAGUUAACUGGCAGUUAAAGAAUGGUUUCAGCUGAUAUCAGCAGUUUACAUUAAAGGCUGGAAUCUAG